rnacentral:rRNA from 1 species
CCUACGGGUUGCAGCAGUGAGGAAUAUUGGUCAAUGGGCGGGAGCCUGAACCAGCCAAGUCGCGUGAAGGAAGAAGGAUCUAUGGUUCGUAAACUUCUUUUGCAGGGGAAUAAAGUGCAGGACGUGUCCUGUUUUGUAUGUACCCUGAGAAUAAGGAUCGGCUAACUCCGUGCCAGCAGCCGCGGUAAUACGGAGGAUCCGAGCGUUAUCCGGAUUUAUUGGGUUUAAAGGGUGCGUAGGUGGUUUGAUAAGUCAGCGGUGAAAGUUUGCAGCUUAACUGUAAAAAUGCCGUUGAAACUGUCGGACUUGAGUGUAAAUGAGGUAGGCGGAAUGCGUGGUGUAGCGGUGAAAUGCAUAGAUAUCACGCAGAACUCCGAUUGCGAAGGCAGCUUACUAAGCUACAACUGACACUGAAGCACGAAAGCGUGGGGAUCAAACAGGAUUAGAUACCCGAGUAGUC